GAUGAAGAACGUAGCGAAAUGCGAUAAGUAAUGUGAAUUGCAGAAUUCAGUGAAUCAUCGAAUCUUUGAACGCACAUUGCGCCCCCUGGUAUUCCGGGGGGCAUGCCUGUUCGAGCGUCAUUUCACCACUCAAGCCUCGCUUGGUAUUGGGCAACGCGGUCCGCCGCGUGCCUCAAAUCGUCCGGCUGGGUCUUCUGUCCCCUAAGCGUUGUGGAAACUAUUCGCUAAAGGGUGUUCGGGAGGCUACGCCGUAAAACAACCCCAUUUCUAAAGUUGACCUCGGAUCAGGUAGGGAUACCCGCUGAACUUAAGCAUAUCAAUAAGCGGAGGA
rnacentral:misc_RNA from 1 species